UACGGAGGGAGCUAGCGUUGUUCGGAAUUACUGGGCGUAAAGCGUACGUAGGCGGUUAUUCAAGUCAGAGGUGAAAGCCCGGGGCUCAACCCCGGAACUGCCUUUGAAACUAGAUAGCUAGAGUCUUGGAGAGGUUAGUGGAAUUCCGAGUGUAGAGGUGAAAUUCGUAGAUAUUCGCAGGAACACCAGUGGCGAAGGCGGCUUACUGGUCCAUAACUGACGCUGAGGUGCGAAAGCGUGGGGAGCAACAGG
rnacentral:rRNA from 1 species